AUUGAACGCUGGCGGCAGGCCUAACACAUGCAAGUCGAGCGGAUGAAGGGAGAUUGCUCUUGGAUUCAGCGGCGGACGGGUGAGUAAUGCCUAGGAAUCUGACUGGUAGAUGGGGCUAACGUCAGGAAAGGGGAGCUAAUCUCGCAUACGUCCAGAGGGUGAACGGCGGGGUUCUUCGGUCCUAACGCUACCUGCUGACCCUAGGUCGGAUUAGCUAGUUGGUGGGGUAAAGGCCUACCAAGGCGACGAUCCGUAACUGGUCUGAGAGGAUGAUCAGUCACACUGGAACUGAGACACGGUCCAGACUCCUACGGGAGGCAGCAGUAGGGAAUAUUGGACAAUGGGCGAAAGCCUGAUCCAGCCAUGCCGCGUGUGUGAAGAAGGUCUUCGGAUUGUAAAGCACUUUUAGUUGGGAAGAAGAGCAGUAAGAGAAUACCUUGCUGUUUUGACGGUACCAACAGAAUAAGCACCGGCUAACUUCGUG
rnacentral:rRNA from 1 species